UACAGAGGUGGCAAGCGUUGUUCGGAAUUACUGGGCGUAAAGGGCGCGUAGGCGGCCUACUAAGUCAGACGUGAAAUCCCCCGGCUUAACCUGGGAACUGCGUCUGAUACUGGAAGGCUUGAGGAUGGGAGAGGGAUGUAGAAUUCCAGGUGUAGCGGUGAAAUGCGUAGAUAUCUGGAGGAAUACCGGUGGCGAAGGCGACUCUUUGGCCUGUAACUGACGCUGAGGCGCGAAAGCGUGGGGAGCAAACAGG
rnacentral:rRNA from 1 species